GAUGAACGCUGGCGGCGUGCCUAAUACAUGCAAGUCGAGCGAACAGACGAGGAGCUUGCUCCUUCGACGUUAGCGGCGGACGGGUGAGUAACACGUAGGUAACCUACCUAUAAGACUGGGAUAACUUCGGGAAACCGGAGCUAAUACCGGAUAAUAUUUCGAACCGCAUGGUUCGAUAGUGAAAGAUGGCUUUGCUAUCACUUAUAGAUGGACCUGCGCCGUAUUAGCUAGUUGGUAAGGUAACGGCUUACCAAGGCAACGAUACGUAGCCGACCUGAGAGGGUGAUCGGCCACACUGGAACUGAGACACGGUCCAGACUCCUACGGGAGGCAGCAGUAGGGAAUCUUCCGCAAUGGGCGAAAGCCUGACGGAGCAACGCCGCGUGAGUGAUGAAGGUCUUCGGAUCGUAAAACUCUGUUAUUAGGGAAGAACAAACGUGUAAGUAACUGUGCACGUCUUGACGGUUCCUAAUCAGAAAGCCACGGCUAACUACGUG
rnacentral:rRNA from 1 species